rnacentral:lncRNA from 1 species
UGCCCGGGAAGAACAGCCUUUGAAAUUCAGCAUCUGCUUCUGGGUAGUUGGUUGAACAAGCCCACCUGACCAAGAGAGGGAAGCACGCUAACUUUUCAGUUUGGACACUCUUGGGGGCUUUUUAGUAAUUGCAUGUGUUUCUGAGCAAGUGAGUGUCUUUUGUGGGUACUAGACAACAGGAUCUGCUCCUGUCAACUAGGGACAGUCUGAAGAAUUUUGGUGUGCAAGUUCAUCAAGCUCAUCCCAUGGAAAGAGGAAGCUCCGCUGUUUCAGUUUGGACACUCUUGGGGUUUGUUGGUUGCUGCAGCACUUGGAUUGUAUUUUGGUGAUUGUUUAUUUGUGUAUGUCAAUAUAGCCAUGGGAAGUAAGAAUUUGAUAAGCUGAUAAUCUUAUGUAAUACUGUUUGGCCUCAUAUCUUUGAAUCUGGAUAAGUUUGGCCUCUCCAUGUGCCUCGUUUUGCUGCUGAAUGGCAAAGCA